rnacentral:rRNA from 1 species
AUUGAACGCUGGCGGUAUGCCUUACACAUGCAAGUCGAACGGUAGGGGGAGCAAUCCCCUGAGAGUGGCGAACGGGUGAGUAAUACAUCGGAACGUGCCCAGUCGUGGGGGAUAACGUAGCGAAAGCUACGCUAAUACCGCAUGCGACCUGAGGGUGAAAGCGGGGGGACCGAAAGGCCUCGCGCGAUUGGAGCGGCCGAUGGCAGAUUAGGUAGUUGGUGGGGUAAAGGCCCACCAAGCCUGCGAUCUGUAGCUGGUCUGAGAGGACGACCAGCCACACUGGGACUGAGACACGGCCCAGACUCCUACGGGAGGCAGCAGUGGGGAAUUUUGGACAAUGGGCGCAAGCCUGAUCCAGCCAUACCGCGUGCGGGAAGAAGGCCU